GCUGAAGAGGGGCAGCUGCCGACAGCCAGGUGCACACGCUGCAGGAGGAGCUGGACGAGCUGAAGGGAGGGGGCUCCCUGCCUUAGCAGCCUGCUGCCCCCCGCCGAGCGCCAGUUGCAGAGCUCCAGCCAGCAGCAGAAGCAGAGCAGUGGGCAGUGGUGGAGGUAGAGCUGGCUCCAGCUUCCUUGACACCACCCUCUCUAGCACUGGAGCCAGUGUCCCCUCCACCAGCAGUGUUGGAGCUGGAGCAAGGGCCGACAUCGGCUGCAGCAGGAGUGGGAGCUGCUGAGCUGGAGUCACCUGGACCAUCAUUUCUAGUGGGAAGUCCAUCUCCACCUGUGGCUAAGAAGCAUGAGAAGAAGCCCAACCUACGGCCUUCCCUCCUAAGCUGGUGGUGGAGCAGUUGACCGUGAUGGAUGCGGAGUGUGAGAUCCUGAAGAACUUCUCCUCGCCCCGCACUGUCAUCUCUUCUCUGCAGAAAACAUCCAUAUGCCACCUGAAGAACACAUGGAGGAAGUUUCCUGGGAGAGCUCUGAAAAAUUUAAAGAGAGCUAUAGCCAAGACGAGUCCUUGAACAGAGAACUGAUGACCAAGGUUAACAAGCAGAGGGAUCUGUUCUGCCCAUGGGCAGGUGGGGUGCCAUUUUUGGGCAGGAGGCCUUGGUCAUGGGACACAGUGGUGUUGGCUGGGCUGUUCCAGGACGAGUUGCCGAGCUGGCGCCAUCAGCAGGUCUCUGGCUUCCACUCACGUCCAUCCUGCUGGAUGUAGCUUCUUCCAGGCUGUUGGGUGGUUGGGUGGGUUUAUCCCUCAGCCUAAACCUGUCCUCAGGAAGCCAGGCCCCUGCUGCUCCUUCUAUCUUCACCAUGUCUCCAAGGGGAGGGCACACUGCCUACCCCAGGGACGGGCACAACAGGGGAUUCCCCUGGCACAGGUGGACAAACAGGCUGCUCAUCCUUGGAUCUGAACAACUGACCAGAGACAGAUGUGUGUGCAUUGUGGGACUCCCCACUGGACCCCUAGAGCAGUCACUUGAGUCAACCACAGGAGUCUCACCUGAGUGCCUGGUUGGCAAUGAUAUAGGCCCCAGGUGGCUUAUGAGUAGCGUCUAGGCAACUGAUGGAUUCUUAGUGGAUCCUGCUGAAAGGACGUUAAGAGCUUCAUGUAAAUGGGGAAGCAAAGCAUCCUGUCACCCCCUUCCCUGUUGAUCAGAGGUGGCACCUUGUGGGUCCAGUUCCUGAGUGGAUAAAGAAAGAGUUCAGUGCAGGCGAAUAUCCUGAGUUGUUCUUUGGGGAGGAGAAGGGUUUGGCAUUGCCUCUGUCCGGCAUGGGGGAGAGACACUCCAGGGGACUGGGGCAGGCAGGAGCCACUCAACAACCAGACUCCCAAGACACCCCAUCCUCUCGAUCCACGGCUCGGCCCAGGGCCAAGCUUUGAGAGCUCAGGGGACAAGACUGUUGUCAGUGGUGGGGCUGGGGGUUAGGCAAGGAUGUUGGAACAGGGCCUCUGGCUGAGAGGGGCAAGCGGCCUCUCCUCUGUUGGCCCCUCAGCAACUCACUGCCCCUGUUUGGUCCUCUGUCUCCCCAUCAGGGAAAUGGAGGUAUGGUGAUUGUGUGGUGAUUGUGUGGUGCAGGCCUCACAGGGUGGUAAUGAGGAGGGGCCCUCCACGUUUGCCCCCCGGAGGGCAACCCCCAGAGAGUGCAGGAGAAGCAGCAGCAGCAGCAGGGGAAUGAGAUCAACCUUGAGAAGAGGACUGAGGAGCAGCUGUGGCACUCCUUGCAGGGGAGGGGAAGGAGGUGGAAAUCAGAGACCCUCUGGGGAGAACAGUUUCUGGCUCCACCCCUUGUAUCUUACAUUGAGUGGAAGAUUUUGGUAGAAGUCGAGACCCAUCCAGUUGGCGCGUGGGUUGAAGGGAGGAUGGCAUCAAGGAAAACUUCUUGGAGGAGGGGCUGAUUAUUCCCAUUCUGAGAACAGAACACCGAGUCAUGAGGGAGAUCCUGCUGCUCCAGGUCGCUGCAAAGAAUUAUAAAAAGACCCCAAGGAGUGAUUUGGGGCCUGGUUCCAGGACAUGGAGCUGCUCAACGAGAAUGAGUCAAACACCAAGGGUAGAGGUCAUCAAAAGAUCAAGUCUAAUCUACCUACGGGUGUGGCAGCCUUAACUAUGGAUGUUCAAGCCAGACAUUGCCAGAAGAACUACAUCUCUUCACCCAUAGAAGAUGCAACCUACAGCUGAAGAGAAACAGAUACAACACCAAUAUCUUAUCCUCUCUGAAGCCAAACUGAGAGCCCCUGGAGUCAGAAGUUUCCAAGAAAAGAAAAAGUCAUCCAUCUUCGGAAGAGAGACAGUAGAGCACGGACUGUAGGAGAAAGCCCAGAGGAGCAAUGAAGACAAAGAAGACAUGACACCUGCAAAAAGUCAGUGGAGUAUUUCUACGUAACAAACCUUCCAGGUGAGUGACGGUCAGUAUCUUCCACUGAUCCAGCUCUCACAAUAAACCUAGAACAUGCCCAAGGUAAGCUGGAGGACUACGCCCCACUAGUCCAUUCCCUGCCCAGGGCCUGUUUGUGCAGGGUGACUGCCAUCAAGCAGACAAUGAACUCAGGAUGGAGCAUGUGCCUUUGGGGAGGCUGGUAGAGAGGGACAAAGUGGAACACCAGCUAAGUGCACACACCUGAGAGGUGGAGUUCCAGGAGGAGACUCAAAAUGUACCAAGAAACUGCGUGAAGGGAGCUACUCGACCUCUCUGAGCCUCAGUGUCCCCCCCUGUAAAAUGGGGAUGACAGGCCUACUUCACAGACCUGUUGGGGAAGAUACAUAAAAGUGCCUGUGACAGCCAGUGUCCAUAUUAUUAACAAAGCCGUCUCCGACUUCAGAAUAAUCAAUGAAAAGAAUAAUGUUGAUGAGACCAAAGACGAGAUGCUCAGCUUCAUAACAGCCCCAGCAGCAUGAGAGUGAGAGGAGCUCCGAGUAAGUAGGGUUCUUCACAGCUCCACUAGAGAGGAUGAACAUGGGCUACACCAGGAUAAGUGGCUGUUGUACAGUGACUCGUGUAGUGAGGGUGGGUCCCUAAAGACACUGAAAU